GAGACACAGCUACACGGAAUAACCAAGUUACACUGAAGUUUUUGAUGUGUAAAUACCUUUAUGUAAACACGCGGUAGAUGGUUCUAUCAGUCUCUGACUAAUUAUGUGUGCAGAAAUAGGUUAAUACGGCUUGCGGUUUGCGCUGGAAUUGUUGUGAGGCCCCGGCAGCCGGAAGCCGGAUGGGUGGAAGGCUGGCCCACUUCCGCUUCCCUCCGGCGCCAUCCUGCAGGUGCCACUACAAUGAACGAGUGAAUGUGCUCUGGAGAGGUGGUUAAGAUGGAAGGGCGGAGCAGGGCUUCAGCUGGGGCGAGAGGUGGAACUGGAGACAAGAGGGAGGUGAUAGGUGUGAGUGAGAUCGAUAGUGGAACCCGUGGUCAUUGCCCCGCGUGGUCAACAGGAUAGCGUGCAGCAACCUGGAGCUUACACAGAUGCAGACUCAUCCCCCACCCCACCCCCUACAACACACAGCUGGCCUCAGGAUGGUCCUGGCUCUCGGCAAUGAUGGAAGCCCAAGAUAAGAAACGGUUCACCUUCUGGAUUGGACCUCCUCAAAGGACCACCGUGGUCAGUGAUGUCACUGAGGACCAUGAGACUUUUGGAUGGAGAUUCUGUCUAAUGUCCUAACUGGUGAAAGGUCAAGGAGCAUGUUUUACUGCAGACAGCUUCUCCGAGCUCCUGGCUGUGAGGAUGACUCAUAAGAACACAAGCCAUGUGUGGGAGUUCAUGAUGUUCAGUCCCAUCUCCCCUUCUCUGGCAGCAGGGAGAGCUGCAGACUGAGUUAACCAGUUCUGCCUACACAAUGGAUGUAGGCUCCAGAAGAUUUCCAAGGUUUGAACACAGCCAUGCACCGGGAAAGCAGUCCACUCUAACCCUGUAGAGACAGAGCUCCUACACCUGGGCGAUGAGGACCCCAUCGUAUGCACCUCUGCAUCCACCUGGCCUCCCUUGUCCUUUACCACAGCCUUGAUGAGUUCACCCUCCCUGGACCAAGCUCACCAGAAGGAAGAACAAACAAACCCAAUGUCUCAGCCUCUGAUCCAGGGUUAGAAGAGACUCUUGCUGCAUUCUGUGAGAAGCACAAGCAGUGGAGCAAACUGCAGACUCAGAGAGGCCAACAAAGUUGCUGUGGUUACAGGAUCCACAAAUGGGCGCAAGCAAGCCUUUGGGAACUUGGGAACUUGUGGGUGUCUCUGGAUUUUGCCGAUCUCUGUCUUAACCUCGGUUUCACAAAGCAAAGCACAGGAGGCUUAAGAGUCUGGAGAACAUGCUACUUUGAAACCUCAAGGGACAGGAGACAAAGCCAAUGUCAGAUGUGUUACCAGCAUGGCCCAAUACAGGCUGUUGGGCCAUGGGCCACCAGUUCAGUGGGAAACAUGAGUGUAUUGCAAAGGAAUCCAUCAGAGGACGGCAGAGGGAAUUAACCACUGCUACAAAUGUCUGCUACUCAAGAGUGGUAGUGCCUCGUGGGUUGAUAACUGUAUCCUUCCAAGCUCUGGGCACUCAGCAAUACUCAGAUACCCGAGACAAGGAGCUCUACAGUCACAUCUGCCCUUGAGAGACUGGGUAUGGACAGUCAGUUAAGGUUCCAAUAGAAGAUGAAGUCGAGUUCUGAUGAGGGAAACAAGAGGUUCAAUACAGCCAGGACUUGUGUGUCCUCUCUCUCCCACUCUGGCCUUCCUAACCAUCCAAGAAGUAGGGCAUGAAGCUGACUGCUCUGAAUUAGUAGAAUUAAUUCGAUACCUCAGGGCAAAAACUAUAGCAAGCUAGAAAGAGGUCAACCCAAGUCUGAGCUGUCACACCCUCUUCAUCCUUGCCCGUGGGAUUGGCUUUGCCAUCGCCUGAAGUCUGGUGGAGGAGGAUGGGGCCCGAGUGGUCAUCAGCAGCUGCAAGCAGCAGAAUGUGGACCAUGCAGUGGUCAUGCUGAAGGAGAAAGGACUGUGUGUGUUGUGUAGGGAAAGCAGAAGAUCGGGAGCAGCUGGUGGCCAUGGUGAGGGAUAUAGGAGAUAAAACACAGGGAUUCCUCUUCGGUGAUCCACACCAGAGUAACAGUUAUGGGCUCCACUACUGACCUGAGUCACCUGUGUCACUUGGUGAUUACCCCUGAGCAGAACUGAGCAGAACUCAGACAGGGCAGGAGGGAGAUGGGGAGCUCUCUGGAAGCAAAGAAAGGGCGGCUAUCCACCAGACCCUCCUGGAAGACCCUGGGGCAAGAUCUGAUCAGAGACAGAGAGGUUGGUUCUUAGCCAGAGCUACAGUGUUCAGGAAAGAUUUAGAUGAGAGGUGGGUGGGGAAAAUGGCAGCCCAGAGUGCCCAGGGUUGGAGGACAUAAAAGGCAAGUAAAGCUGAAACCCCAA